rnacentral:lncRNA from 1 species
AUGGGAAAAGCGGCAAUAACUCAUUCGCCGGCCGAGGCAGGUGACACCAGCGAGCGGCCACCGCUGCCCCAGGAGGCACCACCAGCCCCGCRUCCUCCCCGUUCGCCCCAUCCAUCCCGGCCCAAAUUAAUCCCGCUGCCCGAAUCCCCCCGGCACGGAGCGCAGGCGGGUUUUGCACCGCUAUUGCCCCCCGCAUCACCCUCCUCCCACAUGUCCGUGGGCUCCCGGCAGGCUCAGCAGGUCCCUGGAAGAGCUGGUAACGCCCGGGGGCAUCCCGGCAGGAAUGACUACAGACCGCCCUGGAAAAAUUCAUCARGGGAGAAAACCAAAAUUCCCCGAGGCCCCUCGGGUCGCCCCAGCUCACCAACGAAGCGCCGCGGCCAGGGCGGUAACGCGAGACCCCUGCAAACGUCCCUGCGGGCUGACGCGUCACCUCCGGCGUCUCCYGGCGCUCCGGGGCUCGACGCCACCGUGCUUUCCCGAGCGAUCCCGGGGGGCUUGCGGCGGUUCCCGCGACGGGGCUGCGCCAGCUCGUGCCGCCGCCUGCGCGUGCCCUCGCCUGCCGCCCGCCGCCCGCCCGCGGCACCGUUAUUUCCCGACACGUCGGGAGUGUUUGUACACUCCGUCCCCGGCUCUGACAUAUCCUCGCAUGACACAAUACGCUCGCUGAAGUUUUCCGCCGCUUCGCUUCAAUUUUUAAAACCGUGUGGGAUGCUGGCUACGCGGGACCGGUUAACCCUGCGUUAUCCCCUCGCUGAUCGACGAAGCACCUGCGCAUACGGGGAUGAAACUCUGCUGCCGUCCGGAGGGAGAAAACGCCGAGAGCCUAUCCUUAAAAUAGGCAAACUGGUCAAAAAUGCCUCAAAAUGGAUUCAGACCCCUCGAUUUGGAAAACAACCCCCCGAGGGAAACAAGAACAGGAAUCGAGGCGACUUCAAGGCUCAAAAYCAAGAGCAGAGGGGAGAAGUCUUCAUCGCUGCAGCGCUUUCCUCCCCAAAAUGCUGCUUCGCACCCAAAGUUUCCAAGCAAGCCCAAGCCAGAUGUCCCAAAGCCAAGUCCAGUGCAUUAAUAUCCCGCGRCGUUCUCUCUCGCUCGCUCUCCUUCGUUAGCAUUGAAUUAAUUAGCGUGGAUGGGAGCUCUGAGUCACAACGCCGCCUCUCCGGCUGUGCCAGGACACGGUUUCCCAGGCGCGGGGCCGCCGGCGGGGAGACGCUCCGGGAUGCCCCCGCUAAGGCACGGAGCCGCGGCGCGGAUUGCAAGACUGGGUGUUUUUGCGGGGUGAAGGGGUCCUAA